GAGAUAUCUUUGGGCUGGCCAAUCGCGUGUGGGGCAUCGGAGGUCCCUGGUUGGCGUGAACGCGUGCGCGACCGACCGAGCCGCCGUUCCCCAUCCCUCGAUUCCUCUCCCUCCCCUCGUCUUCCGCCGUCGCUGCCACCGGCGACCUCCCCACAGCAGCUGCCGCCACCGGCGACCUCCCCCACGGCUGAUGCUCCCACCCCUUCUAUCCUUCCUUUACCUUCCCUCACCAUCGACGACCUCCUCCCCUCCCCCCUGCCCCAAAUUGAGCAGCAGGCCCAGAUCCAACGCAGGCUCAGAUCCGGCACGCUCAUAACCCUGGUUCGUCUUGAGGACACUAUGGACAAGAUGCUCUGGGCCUAGUGAUGCAGCCAUGGACAAGGACUCAUGUGGUCGUCGAUUACAAGGGUGUCUCAGGGGGUUAAAGAAGUUGUGUUCUUACAGAUUUGAGCUGAAAGUAAUUCAAAAUAGGAGGCCGGAAGGGAUCUUAUACUACGAUGAGCGUUUUCUUCAAUCAUACCAAAAUGCAUGAAAAAUAUAGCUGUGGUUGUUGGUCUGAUUUAAAUGAGAAUUUAAAUAUUUCUUGCUUGGUUAUUCCAGUUAUGUUACAAUAUUUGAUUUUCGUAGCUCAGGAUGUCGAUUCACAUUGUCUUAAUUCCUGUAUGCUGGUUUCUUUCUACCCCUUGACAGGGAGAUCCAGGAAGGAGGUGACCGUCUCCCACGGCGUCGCAUCGUCAUGAGGAGGACGAAAGUGAGCAUGGGCUGUAGGCUGGUGACAUACAUACUGGUUAAGGGUGGAUAUAUGUGAUUUGUGUGCCGUGUCGGUUCCAGGUAGCACAAUGUUUCAGACUCAGAGCAAAGGAAAAAGCUGAUCAAUAGGUUUCAGCCAUGGUUAGCCUCUCUUCCAAUUUUUUGAUGUGAGUUUUUAGCCUUACUUUUUCUGGCAAUGGAUGCAGAUUAGCUUGGUGGCCUGCAUCUAUAUUUCUUUAUAGUUUUUUUUGUGUUGUUUGGCUAAUAAUUCUGCUCUGUAUCAUCUCCAAACAAGGGUUAGUUAGCUAUCUUUAGAUCUUUUUUGGUACACAAACACUGCAUGUAUUUGUACGUAUAGCAGGAUUUGAAUCCGUUUUGUAUCUACAUGGCAGAACUACCACUCAAAUUAGUGUCUUUUAUUUCUUCAUCAAGAAAAGGUUUGUUCUCUCAGUUUCCUCCAAGUCCAAGUUCAGUUUGAACUGUCUAAACAGGGAUUUACAGAUUGUAUAUUCUUUGCCCACUUGCUAUUUUUUUGCUAAUGCCGUCAUUGUGAUUAGCAAAAGUAGGAUUUUUAUAUGCUUGGUUACUCUUUAGAUUACGAUGUUGAAGACACAGCUUUACCUCUUCAACCAUCUGAACUAUGCUGCACCAGAACUGGUCCCUAGUGGUGAUUCUAAAGUAGGCUUUUCCUGUGACAUAUUUAGUUUUGGAUUGCCAUAAUAAUGUGAAAAUGGUAUCUGUUUUAAUCUGGCACAUGCUUUGUCAAAAUAUAAUGUAUUUAAUCUGGACUUCGCUCUACCUUUGACAUAUGCUACAGCUGCAUAUGCAGAAAACAUACUGACAUGUCCCCCUGUAAUUGCAGUAUAUGAAUUCAUUGACAUAUUUAACAAGUGAAGCCUUUUCUAAUAUUCCUACUCAUCUGGUGGUUGAUUUGCAAAAGAUGCUCUCAGUUGACAGCGGCGGCGGACAGCGCUGGGCGGCACGCCCAUCAGUGCCCGUGUGCCCCGACCGGUGCGGACUGCUUGCGUAGGGCCACAUCAGCUGGUUGCUCAAGCCUGCGUGUGGACUGCCCGGUAAGCUCUAUGAAUCCACUCUGAAUCUGUUUGUUCUUGCAAUCUUGCUCUGUCCAGUUUGGGGUUCGCUAUGCAGGGUUGCGUCUAACCCACUGCCAGUGAAUUUUAUUCUUCUGAAUUGAUGUGUUACAGUGAUCGGCUGCCCCGAUGCCUAAAAUAUAUGUGCCCUUAAGGCUUGGUGUCCAUGGGGAUAGAAAACUGAGUUGAUUUCAAGUGGUACCUGAACGUCUACACAAGAUUUGACUAAAACUUUCUCCUACUAGAUUUCACAAGAGAGCCUUCUAUUCUCCUUUUUAGAACUGAAUAUAUUUGAUGUGCCGUUCAAUAGCAAUGUAGAUACACUGACUCUGCUUUUUCACUAUCAAACAGUCCCAACAAUAGGACUCUGCAAAAUCAAUUUUGGUGUCUUGUUUAAUUGUUUUAUUUGAUGCGAGCUAAGAUUGAUUUCCAGCUCAUCUCCAUGGGUUCCCUGAGGUGAGCGCGAUGCCGAGGAGAGAUGGCGUCGAGGACGACAUCUGAGGACAUCAUCACGCUCAUGGCUCCGCCGCCAUCGUCAUCGAGUUUUUUGGUUUCACAGCAAACAGGUGUGCGACGGGCCGGCAACCAGCGGCGCCAUCUCUAUCCCUGACACUAGAUAAUAGCGUGGCUAAUGGCCCGCGCGCGGCGCGCCUGUCUGUGCCCGUGCGCUCAGGCUGAUGCGGACUGCGACUGCGCGUAGGGCCGCCGCAGCUGCAUGCUCAAGGCGGCGUGCGGACUGCCUGGAUCUAAGACGACACAUAUCACACUUCUGCCCGUCAUCCUAAUUUUGGUGCUUUUUUAGAGGUGUGGGAUUGGGCAGUGGUGAGCUUGGCUCUCAUAUCAGGUUGGGAAGCAGUCAAUGGGUGAUUACCGAACGUGUCGGAACUUCCAAGCAAAUGUCUCUCUGUGGCUAAAAUAAAUCUUAUUUCCCCUCAAGUUACUAAACUGCAAUGGGUAGUUGGUCGGUCGCUGUCAAUUGAAUGUGGGAAUUGAAAUGUCUUGCCGUUUUACAAUUCUUGUUUUGCUUCACAAUCUUCUCUGUUAAAUAGACCUGUUAGUAUCUAUGAAACUACUACGCUUGCUUUGCUUUAUGAAUGAACACUUGUCUCCUGCA